UUACAGAUAAGGAAAAGUGCAGAAAUUCAAGCAACUAAGGCGAUUGUGGUGGGUAGUAGAUUUGUUUAGCUUCAUGGUUGGUGAUGACUGAGUCUUCUAUGGAUGUGGGUGGUUUAAUCAUGUCGUUUAAGGGGAUUUCUUAGUCCAAGUAUCUCAGAUUCUACAUUGGGACUCGUUGGGAUCUUCAAGGCCUAUUAUUACUCCCACUAUUUUAAGGAAGCUUGUCCUCAAGGUUCAAGUUGAUAAACUGCUCAUGUAAGUCGGUCGAGUUUUCCCAAGUUGCAUCUUCAGCUAGAGGUGCUUCUAUUUAACUGAGCUUUUUUAUACAAAUUUUGAUCCCUUUUUAACCGAUCGGUUUUCUAAAAUAGUUUGUGGCUGGAGGAGGAUAUUACUGUCAUCGUCAUUGGUGGUCGGUAAUUCCUUGGUUGCGAACACUCUAUCUCCUAAUUUUUAUUUGAGUAAGGAGAUAUGGAACACUGGGUGAAUGCGUGAUUCGUUACCCAUUUUGAGUUUGUAUGCUACCAGACCAAUAUUUCAAUGUGGUACAACCCAUAUAAACGAGAAGCUAGCUUUUAAAGAGCUUUCUUG
rnacentral:lncRNA from 1 species